UUUAUUAGUUUGUUUGGACAU
rnacentral:piRNA from 1 species